rnacentral:rRNA from 1 species
AAUUUUUGACAAUGGGGGAAACCCUGAUCCAGCCAUCCCGCGUGUAUGAUGAAGGCCUUCGGCUUGUAAAGUUCUUUUGUCAGAGAAGAAAAGGUAUCUCCUACUACGAGAUACUGCUGACGGGAUCUUCAGACAAAGCACGGGAUAAAUACGGCCCAGAAGCCGCGGGAUUACGUUGGGUGAAAGCGUUAAUCGGAAUUACUGAGCGUAAAGCGUGUGUAGGCGGUUCGGAAAGAAAGAUGUGCAAGCCCAGGGCUCAACCAUGGAACUGCAUUUUUAACUGCCGAGCUAGAGUAUGUCAGAGGGGGGUAGAAUUCCACGUGUAGCAGUGAAAUGCGUAGAUAUGUGGAGGAAUACCGAUGGCGAAGGCAGCCCCCUGGGAUAAUACUGACGCUCAGACACGAAAGCGUGGGGAGCAAACA